UACGUAGGGGGCAAGCGUUGUUCGGAAUUAUUGGGCGUAAAGGGCGCGUAGGCGGCCGAUCAAGUCGGGUGUGAAAUCCCUCGGCUCAACCGAGGAACUGCACUCGAUACUGAUUGGCUCGAGUCCGGGAGGGGAUGGUGGAAUUCCCAGUGUAGAGGUGAAAUUCGUAGAUAUUGGGAAGAACACCGGUGGCGAAGGCGGCCAUCUGGACGACAACUGACGCUGAGGCGCGAAAGCGUGGGGAGCAAACAGG
rnacentral:rRNA from 1 species